UAUUAAUUUGUUUUUUUCCAUCGAUGGAUAUUUCAAAUAAGAGUACUUCUGCUGAUCACGUGAAGAUGUAUCCAACUAUUAAUAAGACUACUUCUGCUGAUAUUUCAAAUUUCAUACACUCAUACAAACCUUUAUCCAUUUUUGGUUCUGCUCUCCAAUGUCCUUCGUCAUCAAAAAUAGCAAGGGAGAGCACAUGCAGCAAGAUCAACUUCCUUCCUCUUUCACUCUCCUUCUAACUCCAGAAUUAAACCCAACACUCAACCUCUACCUCACCCUCCUCCUAUAUAUUGACAUCAUUUUCCUCCACAUUUUACUCACAUCCUAAAUUAACUACAUAUUUCAUUUGCAUCAUCCUCUACACACAUUUUACAUGGCUAUUCAUCGUUCUUUAAAAUUGAUUCGCAACUUACAAAAAUUUUGGAAAACUGGUAAACAAUCCAACGCUAGAAGAAACCAAAAUCAAAAGAAUAGAGCAACAACGAGUUUACCAAGUUGUCUCUCUCAGAUUUACGAGUUCGAUACAAUCUGUGUCGAAACUCUGGAAGAUAUGGAAGCGUUGCGAAAACUUAUGGAAGGAGGCAAAAACCCCAAGUUCUUCGGGAUCUGGGGGAGGAGACACUUCUACAAGUGGGGAGGGCUCCGAAUCUGGGGGAGGAGACAACAACGACGAUGCAGGAACAAGUCACUGAUAUCUUUUUUUUUUGGGUCAACACUUCCAUCUGAUAUCUUUGAAGAGACUUUUUAGUUUUUGUUUGAUCCAUUGGUCCAAACAUUGUAUCACAACCCAGUGAGUUUUGUGGAGUAUUUUAUCACAUAUUGAGAACAGAAGAAUUUAACAUGUGUUUUAUGAAGUGCGGAUCGAUGCCUUAA